rnacentral:misc_RNA from 1 species
UAAAAUCCCUCACUAUCAAUCCUCUUCCUUUCCUUGCAACAAAAAUCCAACCUGAGUCCUCUCUUUUUCCACAUUUUUUUCUCUAACAAAUCUCUCUCUUUCUAUACAUGUCUAAUUUCUUUCUCUAGUCAUCUCUCUCUUCAGAGACCACCCUUCAACUUUAUUUCCCUCCUUAAGCGGCUACCACGCCACCGCCACCGCCACCACCUCUUCUUUGUCUCUCUCUUCCCGUAGUACCACAAAUGGGCAAUUGUUGCUCUCGUGGGGAAUCCGGGGAUGCUCCAGAAAAUGAAAAGGGAGAUCAAAGUAAUUAUCCAGGCAGUGCCCCCAAUGAAAACACCACCACCCCACCAGCUAAAAAUGCUCCUCCUUCUGCUUCUUCGGGCAAAGCUGCUCCUAUUGGACCUGUCUUAGGCCGGCCAAUGGAGGACAUAAAAUCAGUUUACACCAUUGGUAAAGAACUUGGUAGGGGUCAGUUUGGUGUCACCCAUUUGUGUACCAAUAAGAGCACAGGCGAGCAAUUUGCAUGCAAGACAAUAGCCAAAAGGAAGCUUGUGAAUAAGGAAGAUGUGGAGGAUGUUAAGAGGGAGGUUCAGAUCAUGCACCAUCUAACUGGUCAGCCUAAUGUUGUUGAACUCAAGGGAGCAUAUGAGGAUAAACAUUCUGUUCAUUUGGUGAUGGAGUUGUGCGCCGGUGGAGAGCUUUUCGAUCGAAUCAUUGCUAAGGGUCAUUACACCGAACGUGCUGCUGCUUCUUUGCUCAGGACUAUUGUUCAAAUUGUUCAUACUUGCCAUUCUAUGGGUGUCAUCCACAGAGACCUCAAGCCUGAGA